UACGUAGGGUGCAAGCGUUGUCCGGAAUUAUUGGGCGUAAAGAGCUCGUAGGCGGUCUGUCGCGUCGGAUGUGAAAAUCCAGGGCUCAACCCGUGGACCUGCAUUCGAUACGGGCAGACUAGAGUUCGGCAGGGGAGACUGGAAUUCCUGGUGUAGCGGUGAAAUGCGCAGAUAUCAGGAGGAACACCGGUGGCGAAGGCGGGUCUCUGGGCCGAUACUGACGCUGAGGAGCGAAAGCGUGGGGAGCGAACAGG
rnacentral:rRNA from 1 species